rnacentral:rRNA from 1 species
GACGAACGCUGGCGGCGUGCUUAACACAUGCAAGUCGAACGAAGUGGCGAACGGGUGAGUAACGCGUAAUCAACCUGCCCUUCAGCGGGGGACCACAGUUGGACACGACUGCUAAUACCGCAUACUUCAGGUGGUGAUUGCGUCUGAUUAGCUAGUUGGAGGGGUAACGGACCACCAAGGCGAUGAUCAGUAGCCGGUAUGAGAGGAUGAAGGGCCACAUUGGGACUGGGACACGGCCCAGACGCCUACGGGAGGCAGCAGUGGGGAAUCUUCCGCAAUGGACGAAAGUCUGACGUCGCAACGCCGCGUGAGUGAUGACGGCCUUCGGGUUGGAAAGCUCUGUUAAUCGGGACGCGGUACCGGAAUAGAAAGCCACGGCUAACUACGUGCCAGCAGCCGCGGUAAUAC